UACGGGGGGGUAAGCGUUGUUCGGAAUUACUGGGCGUAAAGGGCUCGUAGGCGGCCAACUAAGUCAGACGUGAAAUCCCUCAGCUUAACUGGGGAACUGCGUCUGAUACUGGAUGGCUUGGAUCGGAGAGGAAUGCGGAAUUCCAGGUGUAGCGGUGAAUGACGUAGAUAUCUGGAGGAACACCGGUGGCGAAGGCGGCAUUCUGGACCGAUAUUGACGCUGAGGAGCGAAAGCCAGGGGAGCAAACGGG
rnacentral:rRNA from 1 species